AGUCUUGGGUUCCUGAUGCUGCCAUGGACUCCAGGCUCCUCUGCUGUGUGACUCUCUGCCUCCUGGGAGCAGGCCUGGUGGAAUCUGGAGUCACCCAGACCCCCAAGUACCUGAUCAAAUCAAGAAAGCAGAACGCGACUCUGAGAUGUUCCCCUGAAUCUGGACACCGCUCCGUGACCUGGUACCAACAGGCCCUGGGCCAGGGCCCCCAGUUCCUUGUUCAGUAUUAUGAUGGGGAAGAGUAUCAAAAAGGAAACAUAUCGGAUCGAUUCUCAGGAGAACAGUUCAGUGACUCCCGCUCUGAGCUGAGCUUGACCCCCUUGGAGCUGAUGGACUCCGCUCUGUAUCUCUGUGCCAGCAGCCAAGACACAGCCCUGCGUGAUCAGAUGCCUCUGGGACAAAAACACUCCUACCCCAGCUCAGGAAGUGGUAGGCUCUGGACUUCUUUCUCUUCCUCGGGGAACCUGGACUUCUUCUCAGCCAGUCUAGGAAGUGAUUCUCUGAGGUUCAUCUUAGAUUUGAGUCUCUGGGGGAAGGGCGUGGCCGCCUUAUGA